CGCCCGGUCGCCGCGUCGGCCACACGCCUCCUCGCCAUCAGCCGGUUGCCGCCACCAUCUUCUCAUGGGGCCCCAUUCGUGGUUGGGUCCCCGCCGGGGUUGGUGAUGGGGGUGAUUUAGCCCCGAUUCCGACUUUCGCGGCCACGGCCAGGGAGGAAGUCGGGGACGGGGACGGGGCCGUUUUUGGCCAACUUGGCCCUGACCUACCCCGUUGCCACCCCUAUUCCAUCUCCCUCUCUCGUACAUGGACCCAUCCCUCUCUCUUACAUGCAAUGGCUGCCUACUGGCUACUAUAUCUUCUCUCUACUACAUUACAAAGUUUAGGACAUUUGUUCUCCUAAUAAAUCAAUUGUUCGAUUUACGAUCUAAUCGUGCCGUUGUAUUUAUCUAAUUGCCUGGCACGGCACUGCCAUCGAUGGCACCGUGCCUACUUAACGUGAACACACUAAGUGAAGUCCCAUGAGUUAUUUCGAUGUUUCGGCCUAUGUGGUUUGAUGUUAUUUUAGAUUGGAUUGGGAUGUUCCACUGAGUAUUGAUGUUGUUUCGAAGCAAUUGGAAAGGAGGGAGCAGACCUAGAAUGAUUUCUUUAUUUUUUUUGAUACUUCAAUCAAUAUAUUUUGACGUUUAAUUAUAUUGUGUCAAAUCAAAAUGUUGCAGUGACUAUUUUGAUGAUGUUUCUUACUUUGUCUUUGAUGGAUAAAAUCUAUUAAAAACGUUUCAAG
rnacentral:lncRNA from 1 species